AACGAACGCUGGCGGCAUGCCUAACACAUGCAAGUCGAACGAGACCUUCGGGUCUAGUGGCGCACGGGUGCGUAACGCGUGGGAACCUGCCCUUAGGUUCGGAAUAACUCCCCGAAAGGGGUGCUAAUACCGGAUAAUGUCUUCGGACCAAAGAUUUAUCGCCUUUGGAUGGGCCCGCGUUGGAUUAGCUAGUUGGUAGGGUAAAAGCCUACCAAGGCGACGAUCCAUAGCUGGUCUGAGAGGAUGAUCAACCACACUGGGACUGAGACACGGCCCAGACUCCUACGGGAGGGAGCAGUGGGGAAUAUUGGACAAUGGGCGAAAGCCUAAUACAGCAAUGCCGCGGAAGUGAUGAUGGCCUUAGGGUUGUAAAGCUCUUUUACCCGGGAUGAUAAUGACAGUACCGGGAGAAUAAGCUCCGGCUAACUCCGUG
rnacentral:rRNA from 1 species